rnacentral:rRNA from 1 species
AACGAACGCUGGCGGCAUGCCUAACACAUGCAAGUCGAACGAUGCUUUCGGGCAUAGUGGCGCACGGGUGCGUAACGCGUGGGAAUCUGCCCUUGGGUUCGGAAUAACAGUGAGAAAUUGCUGCUAAUACCGGAUGAUGUCUUCGGACCAAAGAUUUAUCGCCCAGGGAUGAGCCCGCGUAGGAUUAGCUAGUUGGUGGGGUAAUGGCCUACCAAGGCGACGAUCCUUAGCUGGUCUGAGAGGAUGAUCAGCCACACUGGGACUGAGACACGGCCCAGACUCCUACGGGAGGCAGCAGUGGGGAAUAUUGGACAAUGGGCGCAAGCCUGAUCCAGCAAUGCCGCGUGAGUGAUGAAGGCCUUAGGGUUGUAAAGCUCUUUUACCCGGGAUGAUAAUGGCAGUACCGGGAGAAUAAGCUCCGGCUAACUCCGUG